rnacentral:rRNA from 1 species
AUUGAACGCUGGCGGCAGGCCUAACACAUGCAAGUCGAGCGGAAGCAGGGAGCUUGCUCCUGGAUUCAGCGGCGGACGGGUGAGUAAUGCUUAGGAAUCUGCCUGGUAGCGGGGGAUAACGUCUGGACACGGGCGCUAAUACCGCAUACGUUCUGAGGGAGAAAGUGGGGGAUCUUCGGACCUCACGCUUUCUUAUGAGCCUAGGUCGGAUUAGCUAGUUGGUGGGGUAAAGGCCGACCAAGGCGACGAUCCGUAACUGGUCUGAGAGGAUGAUCAGUCACACUGGAACUGAGGCACGGUCCAGACUCCUCCGGGAGGCGGCAGUGGGGAAUAUUGGAGAAAGGGCGAAAGGCUGAUCCAGCCAAGCCGCGUGUGUGGAGUAGGUCUUCGGAGUGUAAAGCUUGUAAAGUUGUGAGGAAGGGCAGUAAGUUAAUACCUUGCUGUUUUGGCGUUACCAACAGAAUAAGCACCGGCUAACUUCGUG